AUCGGUUUGGAACACAGACCUUAUGAAAGCAGUUUUAGUAAAGCAGUCCUCAGUUCAAGCGUUAUCAUAGAUAUCCCUUCUCCGUGAGUCUCCUCCUAAGUGCCCAAGUAAGACAUCCUCUGAAAGACAGACCACGUUCGCUACACUAUUGUGGCAAAAUAAUUGAAGGAAAUAUCUCUAUGUCUAAUAAAAUGACUGGUUUAGUAAAAUGGUUUGACGCUGGUAAAGGUUUUGGUUUCAUCACUCCGGCCGAUGGCAGCAAAGAUGUGUUCGUUCACUUCUCUGCUAUCCAGAGCAAUGAUUUUAAAACCCUGGAUGAAGGCCAAAAUGUGGAGUUCUCUAUCGAGAACGGCGCUAAAGGCCCCUCAGCAGUAAACGUAAUCGCCCUGUAAUUCAGUGUGAUUCGAGGAGUUGGCAACCGACAGCGAUGACGGGUUACCCCG
rfam:Yersinia pestis CO92 complete genome